UCGGACUGCUUACACAUGCAGUCGAGGGGUAACGAUGUAGCUUGCUACAGGCGACGACCGGCGCACGGGUGCGUAACGCGUAUGCAACCUGCCUAUUACAGAGGGAUAGCCCAUGGAAACGUGGAUUAAUACCUCAUAAUAAUUUUUAUAGCAUUAUAAAAAUUUGAAAACUCAGGUGGUAAUAGAUGGGCAUGCGUGACAUUAGCUAGUUGGUGAGGUAAGGGCUCACCAAGGCGACGAUGUCUAGGGGUUCUUAAAGGAAGGUCCCCCACACUGGUACUGAGACACGGACCAGACUCCUACGGGAGGCAGCAGUGAGGAAUAUUGGUCAAUGGGCGCAAGCCUGAACCAGCCACUCCGCGUGAAGGAUUACAGCCCUAUGGGUUUUAAACUUCUUUUAUAUGGGAAGAAUUGUAGUUACGUGUAAUUACUUGCCGGUACCAUAUGAAUAAGCAUCGGCUAACUCCGUGCCAGCAGCCGCGGUAAUACGGAGGAUGCAAGCGUUAUCCGGAUUUAUUAGGUUUAAAGGGUGCGUAGGCUGUUGUACAAGUCAGUGGUGAAAUCCUAUAGCUCAACUAUAGAAUUGCCUUUGAAACUGUAUGACUAGAAUUCAGGAGAGGUAGGCGGAAUGUGUAGUGUAGCGGUGAAAUGCAUAGAUAUUACACAGAACACCAAUUGCGAAGGCAGCUUACUAAACUGCGAUUGACGCUGAUGCACGAAAGCGUGGGUAGCGAACAGGAUUAGAUACCCUGGUAGUCCACGCCGUAAACGAUGAAUACUGGUUGUGUGCGAUAAUUAACUGUACGUGACUGAGCGAAAGCAUUAAGUAUUCCACCUGGGGAGUACGUUGGCAACAAUGAAACUCAAAGGAAUUGACGGGGCCCGCACAAGCGGAGGAACAUGUGGUUUAAUUCGAUGAUACGCGAGGAACCUUACCUGGGCUUAAAUGCAGCUUGCAUGUGAAAGAGAUUUCACUUUUCUUCGGAACUAGCUACAAGUGCUGCAU
rnacentral:rRNA from 1 species